rnacentral:rRNA from 1 species
AUUGAACGCUGGCGGCAUGCUUUACACAUGCAAGUCGAACGGUAGACCCUUUCGGGGGUUGAGAGUGGCGAACGGGUGAGUAAUGCAUCGGAACGUGCCUAGUCGUGGGGGAUAACGUAGCGAAAGUUACGCUAAUACCGCAUACGCACUAAGGUGGAAAGCGGGGGACCGUAAGGCCUCGCGCGAUUGGAGCGGCCGAUGUCGGAUUAGCUAGUUGGUGAGGUAAAGGCUCACCAAGGCGACGAUCCGUAGCGGGUCUGAGAGGAUGAUCCGCCACACUGGGACUGAGACACGGCCCAGACUCCUACGGGAGGCAGCAGUGGGGAAUUUUGGACAAUGGGCGCAAGCCUGAUCCAGCCAUGCCGCGUGCGGGAAGAAGGCCUCGGUUGUAACGUACCGUCGUACGACGAAGAAAGUAACG